GGGAAUGUGGCUUAGUGGUAGAGUGCUUGUCUAGCGUGCAUGAAGCCCUGGGUUCGAUUCCUCAGUACCA
rnacentral:tRNA from 1 species